rnacentral:tRNA from 1 species
AGUUUUUGGUGUAUAUGCACAAUAAAUUUUGAUUUUAUAAGAAAUAAUUUUGAAUUAUUAAAACUA